CAAGGAGGCAGUGUGGGGACUGAAGGCUCCCAGGAUGCACUUGUGUAGCACUUCCUAAGUCUUUUCCACGAACUGCACGUAACGCAGAGAAUAAACAUGUGUGCCUGGAAUGGUCUGGGAAUGUCCCAAGCACAGAGUUCUUUUGAAGUCUUAUGUUUUACACUAAAAAUUCAUGUAAAUGCUGCAUUUUACUUUAUAAUUUUAUAUAUUCCAUGUGUUUAAAUAUUUUUAAAAUAAUGUUUUAUAUUAUUUACCAACUAGUAAAAUGGAUACUUGUAUAACUUUAAAUACAUCUUUUGUAUCCCCUGGAAAAAUAUAUCCCCAGUUUGAGAUGUACUGCAUGAAUGGCAGGAACAGAGACUGGUUCCCUGAGGGCCACUGGAGGUUUCUGCUGCUGAGAGCGCUCACCCCUUGUUACAAAUCCAUAUGGAUUCUGCCACUGCACUGCCCUCCCCCAAAACAGAACAAAAAAGAAGAAGAAGAAAAGAGAGAAAGUAAAAGAAAGCCCAUCCCUACUAAGAAAGAGGAAAGGUCCCAACUCCAAAAUCUUGGUGAACACCUCAUAUUAUUCAGUUUAGUAUUUAUUGUGACGUAG
ensembl:lincRNA